rnacentral:rRNA from 1 species
GAAAGGAUACAGAGAUAUUGACGUCCUUCGGGAACCGCUGUGGAGGUGCUGCAUGGUUGUCGUCAGCUCGUGCCGUGAGGUGUCGGCUUAAGUGCCAUAACGAGCGCAACCUUUUUCAUCAGUUGCCAUCAGGUGAUGCUGGGCACUCUGGUGAUACUGCCACCGUAAGGUGUGAGGAAGGUGGGGAUGACGUCAAAUCAGCACGGCCCUUACGUCCGGGGCUACACACGUGUUACAAUGGGGCAUACAGAAGGCAGGAACAUGGCAACAUGUUUCAAAUCUUAAAAGUGCUCCUCAGUUCGGAUUGGGGUCUGCAACCCGACCCCAUGAAGCUGGAUUCGCUAGUAAUCGCGCAUCAGCCAUGGCGCGGUGAAUACGUUCCCGGGCCUUGUACACACCGCCCGUCAAGCCAUGAAAGCCGGGGGCGCUGAAGUCCGUGACCGCAAGGAUCGGCCUAGAGCGAAACUGGUAAUUGGGGCUAAGUCGUAACAAGGUAACCUA